rnacentral:misc_RNA from 1 species
GAUGAAGAACGCAGCGAAAUGCGAUACGUAAUGUGAAUUGCAGAAUUCAGUGAAUCAUCGAAUCUUUGAACGCAUAUUGCGCUCUUUGGUAUUCCGAAGAGCAUGCUUGUUUGAGUAUCAGUAAACACCUCAACCUCUUCUUGAUUUUUCAAAAGGAGGGUGGACUUGAGCUAUCCCAACAACCUUUACCGGUCGGCGGGCGGCUUGAAAUGCAGGUGCAGCUGGACUUUUAUCUGAGCUAAAAGCAUAUCUAUUUAGUCCUCGUCAAACAGGAUUAUUACUUUUGCUGCAGCUAACAUAAAGGAUAAUUGUCCUCUUUGCUGACUGAUGCAGGAUUUUAAGACACUUUAUGUGUUGUUCAACUCGAUCUCAAAUCAAGUAAGACUACCCGCUGAACUUAAGCAUAUCAAUAAGCGGAGGA